rnacentral:rRNA from 1 species
AGCAGUCGCCACGGUAAUACAGAGGGUGCGAGCGUUAAUCGGAUUUACUGGGCGUAAAGCGUGCGUAGGCGGCUUCUUAAGUCGGAUGUGAAAUCCCUGAGCUUAACUUAGGAAUUGCAUUCGAUACUGGGAAGCUAGAGUAUGGGAGAGGAUGGUAGAAUUCCAGGUGUAGCGGUGAAAUGCGUAGAGAUCUGGAGGAAUACCGAUGGCGAAGGCAGCCAUCUGGCCUAAUACUGACGCUGAGGUACGAAAGCAUGGGGAGCAAACAGGAUUAGAGACCCGUGUAGUCCCUGUCUCUUAUAC